AUUGAACGCUGGCGGCAGGCUUAACACAUGCAAGUCGAACGAGUGGCGGACGGGUGAGUAAUGUCUGGGAAACUGCCCGAUGGAGGGGGAUAAAUACUGGAAACAGUAGCUAAUACCGCCUACCAUUGGCUGAGCCCAGAUGGGAUUAGCUAGUAGGUGGGGUAACGGCUCACCUAGGCGACGAUCCCUAGCUGGUCUGAGAGGAUGACCAGCCACACUGGAACUGAGACACGGUCCAGACUCCUACGGGAGGCAGCAGUGGGGAAUAUUGCACAAUGGGCGCAAGCCUGAUGCAGCCAUGCCGCGUGUAUGAAGAAGGCCUUCGGGUUGUAAAGUACUUUCAGCGAGGAGGCGUUACUCGCAGAAGAAGCACCGGCUAACUCCGUGCCAGCAGCCGCGGUAAUUC
rnacentral:rRNA from 1 species